GCAGCGGCAAAACUACUCUUCAGUGCCAGAGUGUUAAGCCAGUUACGGAAGAAUCUGACUGAGACCUGGAGCUCUGGAGGAGCAACUCAACUGAAACCUGCCUGCCUGCUCUCAGUAACAAACCUGAAGAUCAAACUGUCUGGAUCUGCCUACCAUCCUUCAAGAAGCAACUUGAAGAAGCUCUGAACACUCACAAGCCUGAAGCUAAGUUCUGUCGCUGCCAAGCCCUCUGCCAUCAGUCAGUCUCUAGACCCUCCUGGUUCCCUCCCUCUGCUGCUCAGCCUGAAUCUCUGAACAGAGAGCCUUGUGUGACCAGUCCCGGAUUUGAUUCCAGCACCUGUCAACUAACCUUGUGUUUAUCAUUGAUUCAAGAAUCUGUUAAACAACCUUGUGCAAACCUUUAAUAAAUU